ACUUCAGUGUAGUCUGGGAAAGAGCACUGGAGUUGGGCUUGUCACCUUGCAGAGUGAUUUCUACCUUCACAUGGUCUUCGCAUUGAUGCAAGGGUGCAGGCUGGCUACCUGUCAUGAGAUGGUGUACCUGUCGUGACGUGACGUGCCUGUGGUGAUGAGGUGGUGAUGUGAAGCGUCAGUGCUACCUGCUUUGGGAUACGAUCUCGAAUGUCUCCAGGAAAGGAUUAAACCGUGUGCAAGAAUCCAAGAGAUUAUUC